CCAGUCGGCCGGGCGGCCGCACCCGCAAUCGCCGAAAGGUGGUGGGUGAGGAAAGUCCGGGCUCCAUGGAAAUGCGGUGCCGGCUAACGGCCGGCGGGGGCGACCCCAGGGAAAGUGCCACAGAAAGCAGACCGCCGCGCUUAUUGCGCGGUAAGGGUGAAAGGGUGGGGUAAGAGCCCACCGCGCGCCUGGCAACAGGAGCGGCACGGCAAACCCCACCGGGAGCAAGACCGAAUAGGGAUGGCUUGGAGGGCAACCUUCAGGGGCUGUUUCCGGCUCGCCAUCCGGGUAGGUUGCGUGAGAUGCGUGGCAACACGCAUCCAAGAUGAAUGGCCGCCACGUUCCCGUUUCGCAAGAGGCGGGGCCAUACAAAACCCGGCUUACAGGCCGACUGGCACU
rnacentral:RNase_P_RNA from 1 species